GACGAACGCUGGCGGCGUGCUUAACACAUGCAAGUCGAACGGACAGGCCCUGCUUUUGUGUCGCGCUCGAGUGGCGAACGGGUGAGUAACACGUGAGUAACCUGCCCUUGACUUUGGGAUAACUUCAGGAAACUGGGGCUAAUACCGCAUAGGAGCUCCUGCUGCAUGGUGGGGGUUGGAAAGUUUCGGCGGUUGGGGAUGGACUCGCGGCUUAUCAGCUUGUUGGUGGGGUAGUGGCGUACCAAGCCUUUGACGGGUAGCCGGCCUGAGAGGGUGACCGGCCACAUUGGGACUGGGAUACGGCCCAGACUCGUACGGGAGGCAACAGUGGGGAAUAUUGCAGAAUGGGCGGGAGCCUGAUGCGAAGACGCCGCGUGCGGGAUAACGGCCUUCUGGUUGUAAACCGAUUUCGCCUGUGACGAGGAGUGAGUGACGGUAAUGGGUAAGGAAGCAACGGCUAACUACGUG
rnacentral:rRNA from 1 species